GGGAUUGCCUUAGUAGCGGCGAGUGAAGCGGCAAAAGCUCAAAUUUGAAAUCUGGCGCCUUCGGUGUCCGAGUUGUAAUUUGAAGAUUGUAACCUUGGGGUUGGCUCUUGUCUAUGUUUCUUGGAACAGGACGUCACAGAGGGUGAGAAUCCCGUGCGAUGAGAUGCCCAAUUCUAUGUAAGGUGCUUUCGAAGAGUCGAGUUGUUUGGGAAUGCAGCUCUAAGUGGGUGGUAAAUUCCAUCUAAAGCUAAAUAUUGGCGAGAGACCGAUAGCGAACAAGUACAGUGAUGGAAAGAUGAAAAGAACUUUGAAAAGAGAGUGAAAAAGUACGUGAAAUUGUUGAAAGGGAAGGGUUUGAGAUCAGACUCGAUAUUUUGUGAGCCUUGCCUUCGUGGCGGGGUGACCCGCAGCUUAUCGGGCCAGCAUCGGUUUGGGCGGUAGGAUAAUGGCGUAGGAAUGUGACUUUACUUCGGUGAAGUGUUAUAGCCUGCGUUGAUGCUGCCUGCCUAGACCGAGGACUGCGAUUUUAUCAAGGAUGCUGGCAUAAUGAUCCCAAACCGC
rnacentral:rRNA from 1 species